rnacentral:ncRNA from 3 species
AUAAUUUAAAUAGCGUGUGGCCUCAUUAAUAUGAGGAUACGAGGAAGAAGGUUGUCGAUAAUCUGCGGAUGCCUUCUGGUUACGCCUUUCUAACCAAAAGGGUAUAACAAUACCCAAGAUCGGU